rnacentral:rRNA from 1 species
GGCUUAGAGUUUGAUCAUGGCUCAGGAUGAACGCUGGCGGCGUGCCUAACACAUGCAAGUCGAGCGAAGCGAUUCGGAUGAAGUUUUCGGAUGGAUUUUGGAUUGACUGAGCGGCGGACGGGUGAGUAACGCGUGGGUAACCUGCCUCAUACAGGGGGAUAACAGUUAGAAAUGACUGCUAAUACCGCAUAAGCGCACAGUACCGCAUGGUACGGUGUGAAAAACUCCGGUGGUAUGAGAUGGACCCGCGUCUGAUUAGGUAGUUGGUGGGGUAACGGCCUACCAAGCCGACGAUCAGUAGCCGACCUGAGAGGGUGACCGGCCACAUUGGGACUGAGACACGGCCCAAACUCCUACGGGAGGCAGCAGUGGGGAAUAUUGCACAAUGGGGGAAACCCUGAUGCAGCGACGCCGCGUGAGAGAAGAAGUAUUUCGGUAUGUAAAGCUCUAUCAGCAGGGAAGAAAAUGACGGUACCUGACUAAGAAGCCCCGGCUAACUACGUGCCAGCAGCCGCGGUAAUACGUAGGGGGCAAGCGUUAUCCGGAUUUACUGGGUGUAAAGGGAGCGUAGACGGCGAAGCAAGUCUGAAGUGAAAACCCAGGGCUCAACCCUGGGACUGCUUUGGAAACUGUUUUGCUAGAGUGCUGGAGAGGUAAGUG